rnacentral:lncRNA from 1 species
UGAGAUAGCCAAGGGGUGGGGGUGCCCAAGAAACAAAGGCAAACCGUGGCGCUGAAACAGCGUGAUGAGCACCCCAGAUGUCCCUGACCAGCCCAGAAGUGACUACCGCAGCCGCCCCGAUAACCUCCCUCGCAAGCAACAUCGCCCGGUCUACCACCAUCCUUGGAGGCGCCCUCCUCCCCUCAAAUAUACCGGUAUUCCUGUCCAACCAUAUAUGGUAGGACAGGUACGCCACGAAAAUCCCUGCCUC